GACGAACGCUGGCGGCGUGCUUAACACAUGCAAGUCGAACGGAAAGGCCCUGCUUUUGUGGGGUGCUCGAGUGGCGAACGGGUGAGUAACACGUGAGUAACCUGCCCUUGACUUUGGGAUAACUUCAGGAAACUGGGGCUAAUACCGGAUAGGAGCUCCUGCUGCAUGGUGGGGGUUGGAAAGUUUCGGCGGUUGGGGAUGGACUCGCGGCUUAUCAGCUUGUUGGUGGGGUAGUGGCUUACCAAGGCUUUGACGGGUAGCCGGCCUGAGAGGGUGACCGGGCACAUGGGGACUGAGAUACGGCCCAGACUCCUACGGGAGGCAGCAGUGGGGAAUAUUGCACAAUGGGCGGAAGCCUGAUGCAGCAACGCUGCGUGCGGGAUGACGGCCUUCGGGUUGUAAACCGCUUUCGCCUGUGACGAAGCGUGAGUGGCGGUAAUGGGUAAAGAAGCACCGGCUAACUACGUG
rnacentral:rRNA from 1 species